UACGUAGGGGGCAAGCGUUGUCCGGAAUCAUUGGGCGUAAAGAGCGUGUAGGCGGUCCGGUCAGUCGGUUGUGAAAGUCAAGGGCUCAACCCUUGAAUGCCGGCCGAUACUGCCGGGCUAGAGUCCGGAAGAGGAGAGUGGAAUUCCUGGUGUAGCGGUGAAAUGCGCAGAUAUCAGGAAGAACACCCGUGGCGAAGGCGGCUCUCUGGGACGGUACUGACGCUGAGACGCGAAAGCGUGGGGAGCGAACAGG
rnacentral:rRNA from 1 species